rnacentral:rRNA from 1 species
UACGGAGGGAGCUAGCGUUGUUCGGAAUUACUGGGCGUAAAGCGUGCGUAGGCGGUUAUUUAAGUCUGUUGUGAAAUCCCCCGGGCUCAACCUGGGAAUGGCAAUGGAUACUGGAUAGCUAGAGUGUGAUAGAGGAUGGUGGAAUUCCCGGUGUAGCGGUGAAAUGCGUAGAGAUCGGGAGGAACAUCAGUGGCGAAAGGCGGCCCAUCUGGAUCAACACUGACGCUGAGGCACGAAAGCGUGGGGAGCAAACAGG